AAAGUCGUAACAAGGUUUCCGUAGGUGAACCUGCGGAAGGAUCAUUACCGAGUUCAUGCCCUUCGGGGUAGAUCUCCCACCCUUUGUUUACCAUACUAUGUUGCUUUGGCGGACCGCCUGGUGGCCCUUCGGGGUCGCCAGCUACCGGCUUCGGCGGGUACGCGUCCGCCAGAGAACCCAAAACCCUGUAUAUUAGUGUCGUCUGAGUAAAAAGUUUAAUAUUUAAAACUUUCAACAACGGAUCUCUUGGCUCUG
rnacentral:misc_RNA from 1 species